rnacentral:rRNA from 1 species
AGUGAACGCUGGCGGUAGGCCUAACACAUGCAAGUCGAACGGCAGCACAGUAAGAGCUUGCUCUUACGGGUGGCGAGUGGCGGACGGGUGAGGAAUACAUCGGAAUCUACUUUUUCGUGGGGGAUAACGUAGGGAAACUUACGCUAAUACCGCAUACGACCUACGGGUGAAAGCAGGGGAUCUUCGGACCUUGCGCGAUUGAAUGAGCCGAUGUCGGAUUAGCUAGUUGGCGGGGUAAAGGCCCACCAAGGCGACGAUCCGUAGCUGGUCUGAGAGGAUGAUCAGCCACACUGGAACUGAGACACGGUCCAGACUCCUACGGGAGGCAGCAGUGGGGAAUAUUGGACAAUGGGCGCAAGCCUGAUCCAGCCAUGCCGCGUGAGUGAAGAAGGCCUUCGGGUUGUAAAGCCCUUUUGUUGGGAAAGAAAAGCAGCAGAUUAAUACCCCGCUGUUCUGACGGUACCCAAAGAAUAAGCACCGGCUAACUUCGUG